AAGUCGUAACAAGGUUUCCGUAGGUGAACCUGCGGAAGGAUCAUUAUCGUACAACAGGAGGUGCCGAGGUUGUCGCUGACCCCUAGGUCGUGCACGCCUUGAGCACGUUCUUACUCCACCUCACCCCUUGUGCAUCCCCGCGUGGGCUCUCUCUUAUCGAGAAGAGCCGGCGUCUUUAACACGAACACAAAGCAGUGUAGAAUGUUCUUUUUGCAUUUGUAUGCAGUUAAUACAACUUUCAACAACGGAUCUCUUGGCUCUCGCAUCGAUGAAGGACGCAGCGAAAUGCGAUACGUAAUGUGAAUUGCAGAAUUCAGUGAAUCAUCGAAUCUUUGAACGCACCUUGCGCCCCUUGGUAUUCCGAAGGGCACACCCGUUUGAGUGUCGUGAAGUUCUCAACCUUCUUCAUUCUUGAGGAAUGGCUUGGACUUUGGAGGCUUUUUUUUUUUGCUGGACUCUCUUGAUCGAGUAUCGGCUCCUCUUAAAUGGAUUAGUAGGAUCCUUCUUUGCUGGUCCUCGACGUGAUAAGUCUUUUCUACGUCUGGAGCUUAGCUUAUGAGGCCUGCUUCUAAUCGUCUCUUCAGACAAAUCGGUUCAGAGAAUUCCCUUUCUGACCGGUGAAACCCCUUUGACCUCAAAUCGGGUGAGACUACCCGCUGAACUUAA
rnacentral:rRNA from 1 species